rnacentral:rRNA from 1 species
GACGUAGGGCGCGAGCGUUGUCCGGAUUUAUUGGGCGUAAAGAGCUCGUAGGCGGUCUGUUGCGUCCGCUGUGAAAACCCGGGGCUUAACCCCUGGCUUGCAGUGGAUACGGACAGACUAGAGGUAGGUAGGGGAGAAUGGAAUUCCCGGUGUAGCGGUGAAAUGCGCAGAUAUCGGGGAGGAACACCGGUGGCGAAGGCGGUUCUCUGGGCCUUACCUGACGCUGAGGAGCGAAAGCGUGGGGAGCGAACAGG